UUCGGGACGCCGGCGAGUGGCGAACGGGUGAGUAACACGUGGAGACCUGCCCUGAGGUGGGGGAUAACAGCUAGAAAUGGCUGCUAAUACCGCAUACGCCUUACGAGGGAAAGAUUUAUUGCCUCAGGAGGGUUCCGCGUCGGAUUAGCUAGUUGGUAGGGUAACGGCCUACCAAGGCGACGAUGGUUAGCUGGUCUGAGAGGAUGAUCAGCCACACUGGAACUGACACACGGUCCAGACUCCUACGGGAGGCAGCAGUGAGGAAUUUUGCGCAAUGGGGGCAACCCUGACGCAGCAACGCCGCGUGAGUGAUGAAGGCUUUCGGGUCGUAAAACUCUGUCAAGUGGAAAGAAAUCAUAAGAGGUUAACACCCUUUUAUAUUGACGGUACCACUGAAGGAAGCACCGGCUAACUCCGUGCCAGCAGCCGCGGUAAUACGGGGGGUGCAAGCGUUAUUCGGAAUUAUUGGGCGUAAAGGGCGCGUAGGCGGCUCUGAAAG
rnacentral:rRNA from 1 species